GAGGAUUUAGCUCAGUGGAAGAGCACUUGCCUGGCAAGUGCAAGGUCCUGAGUUCAGUCCUCA
rnacentral:tRNA from 1 species